UUGUUGGACGCUAGCGGCGGAUGGGUGAGUAACACGUGGGCAAUCUGCCCUAAAGACUGGGAUACCACUUGGAAACAGGUGCUAAUACCGGAUAACAACAUGAAUCGCAUGAUUCAAGUUUGAAAGGCGGCGCAAGCUGUCACUUUAGGAUGAGCCCGCGGCGCAUUAGCUAGUUGGUGGGGUAAAGGCCUACCAAGGCAAUGAUGCGUAGCCGAGUUGAGAGACUGAUCGGCCACAUUGGGACUGAGACACGGCCCAAACUCCUACGGGAGGCAGCAGUAGGGAAUCUUCCACAAUGGACGCAAGUCUGAUGGAGCAACGCCGCGUGAGUGAAGAAGGUCUUCGGAUCGUAAAGCUCUGUUGUUGGUGAAGAAGGAUAGAGGCAGUAACUGGUCUUUAUUUGACGGUAAUCAACCAGAAAGUCACGGCUAACUACGUGCCAGCAGCCGCGGUAAUACGUAGGUGGCAAGCGUUGUCCGGAUUUAUUGGGCGUAAAGCGAGCGCAGGCGGAAUGAUAAGUCUGAUGUGAAAGCCCACGGCUCAACCGUGGAACUGCAUCGGAAACUGUCAUUCUUGAGUGCAGAAGAGGAGAGUGGAACUCCAUGUGUAGCGGUGGAAUGCGUAGAUAUAUGGAAGAACACCAGUGGCGAAGGCGGCUCUCUGGUCUGCAACUGACGCUGAGGCUCGAAAGCAUGGGUAGCGAACAGGAUUAGAUACCCUGGUAGUCCAUGCCGUAAACGAUGAGCGCUAGGUGUUGGGGACUUUCCGGUCCUCAGUGCCGCAGCAAACGCAU
rnacentral:rRNA from 1 species